UCUGGGGAUACCACUUGGGAAACAGGUGCUAAAUACCGGAUAAGAAAGCAGAUCGCAUGAUCAGCUUUUAAAAGGCGGCGUAAAGCUGUCGCUAUGGGGAUGGCCCCGCGGUGCAUUAGCUAGUUGGCAAGGUAAAGGCUUACCAAGGGCGAUGAUGCAUAGCCCGAGUUGAGAGACUGAUCGGCCACAUUGGGGACUGAGACACGGCCCAAACUCCUACGGGAGGCAGCAGUAGGGAAUCUUCCACAAUGGACGCAAGUCUGAUGGAGCAAAUGCCGCGUGAGUGAAGAAGGUUUUCGGAUCGUAAAAAGCUCUGUUGUUGGUGAAGAAGGAUAGAGGUAGUAACUGGCCCUUUAUUUGACGGUAAUCAACCCAGAAAGUCACGGGCUAACUACGUGCUAGCAGCCGCGGUAAAU
rnacentral:rRNA from 1 species